AGCUCCAAUAGCGUAUAUUAAAGUUGCUGCAGUUAAAAAGCUCGUAGUUGGAUUUGUGGGAUGGCCGUCCGGCGGGGGGCCAUUUAUUGGUCCCGUUUGUCCUGGUUUUCGGCCUUCCCUUUCUCGGGUCUAGCGUAUUGGCUGGCAUUAGGUUGUCGGCCGCUUCGCGCCCGUCGUUUACUGUGAAAAAAUUAGAGUGUUCAAAGCAGGCUUAGGCCGUUGGAUACAUUAGCAUGGAAUAAUGAGAUAGGGCCACCGCGGUCUAUUUUGUUGGUUUGCACGUUGUGGUAAUGAUUAACAGGAACGGUUGGGGGUAUUCGUAUUCAAUUGUCAGAGGUGAAAUUCUUGGAUUUGUGGAAGACGAACUACUGCGAAAGCAUUUACCAAGGAUGGUUUCAUU
rnacentral:rRNA from 1 species